UCCAGACUCCUACGGGAGGCAGCAGUGGGGAAUAUUGCACAAUGGGGGAAACCCUGAUGCAGCGACGCCGCGUGAGUGAGGAAGUAUUUCGGUAUGUAAAGCUCUAUCAGCAGGGAAGAAAAUGACGGUACCUGACUAAGAAGCCCCGGCUAACUACGUGCCAGCAGCCGCGGUAAUACGUAGGGGGCAAGCGUUAUCCGGAUUUACUGGGUGUAAAGGGAGCGUAGACGGAAUUGCAAGUCUGAUGUGAAAAUCCGGGGCCCAACCCCGGAACUGCAUUUGGAACUGUGUGGCUGGAGUGUCGGAGAGGCAGGCGGAAUUCCUAGUGUAGCGGUGAAAUGCGUAGAUAUUAGGAGGAACACCAGUGGCGAAGGCGGCCUGCUGGACGAUGACUGACGUUGAGGCUCGAAAGCGUGGGGAGCAAACAGGAUUAGAUACCCCCGUA
rnacentral:rRNA from 1 species